AGAUUGAACGCUGGCGGCAUGCCUUACACAUGCAAGUCGAACGGCAGCACGGGAGCAAUCCUGGUGGCGAGUGGCGAACGGGUGAGUAAUACAUCGGAACGUGCCCAGUUGUGGGGGAUAGCCCGGCGAAAGCCGGAUUAAUACCGCAUACGACCUACGGGUGAAAGCCGGGGGAUCGCAAGACCUCGCGCUAUUGGAGCGGCCGAUGUCGGAUUAGCUUGUUGG
rnacentral:rRNA from 1 species